CACAGGGUUGCUGAACUGGCACUGACAGAGGUUUUUUGGAGCCUCAAUCCUAACAAACUCACAAGAUCAUCAGUAUAUCCUCUGUGCUUCAGAAACAGAAGCCCAAACGCCAUCUGGAUAACAUCGUGACUGUCAGAACAUUUUUAUUCUCUUUGUUUUUGUUUUUCAAGGCACAUUGCUAACCUCUAUCUGACCGUAUUAAGGCACAUGUAGGCAUUUUUCUAGCUACGAGGCAGAACAAAGCUUGCAAAAGGGCAGCUGGGUGCCUGCAAAGGGCAACAUCCUCCACUGGUGCUGUACUUCCCACUGAAGAGCAGUGCUCCAACAGGCACUGGCAGCUUCCUACUGGAAGAGGAGUCUGCCUCAUGAGGGGCUGGUAGUACUGUAGAGUAAUGGCCUUCCAGCAGGGAAACUAUGAUGUUCCUUCGUGGUUUCUUUUGUUUGUUUUACCUCUGAGCAGGGGCAUCUUAGUGCAGCUGCUGAGCGUGGCAUGAAGUAACUGGCAGAAGAAACGGAGUGGGAAAUAUCCCUCAAACUGGAGCUGAGCCAUUGGCAGAGGCAGUUCAUCUUCACCUCCGUAACGUUCAGACUCAGGGUCUGUUGAUCCCACGUUUGCUGUACGAGGCGCAAAAUCUACCGAUCUGCCUUUCCUCAAGUCAGUUGCCUUCUUGCAGUGAGGUUCGGCACAGCCACCCUUACCACCCACAACAACUUCUGACAACUCUUGGGGCUUGCAGCAAGGCACAGAUGUGGAGAUAUGCGCUCUCUGACUUCAAAAUAUAACUGGAAAGAAUGUUUUGGAGAUGACAUUUUGCUCUCCGGAGGCCAGCAUAACAUGACUGCAGUGUGAGCUGUGUACUUUUGUCCAGCCAGCACUUCCUUUACUUGACAUGGAUAUUGCACUUUUGUAAAGCAUCCUGGAACUCUGCUGCCCCGCUGCAUGCUGUGCAGAGCGCUGGAUAG
rnacentral:lncRNA from 1 species